GUCUCUUCUACAUGAGUUUUAUUUCAAGUAGUAAGAUUGAUGAACUGUGAGAUCAUUCUAUUUUGUUGUUUUUUUGAACAGCCUCCAUACUAUUCUUCAUAAUUACUAAUUUGUAAACUCACAAAAUAAAAGCAUUCCUCUUUCUGAGCAUGGCUACCAACAGUUGUAUUAUGUCAUUGGUUUUGAUUUACAUUUCCCUAAUAAUUAAUGAUAUUUAGCAUUUUUCAUAUAUCUAUUGGCCUUAAAUUUUGAUGAUCUUUUGAGAAAUGUCAAUUCAGAUCUUUAGUCCACCUUUUAAUUAAGUUGCCUGGGAUUCCUUCCUUAUAUAUUCUAAAUAGUAAACCCUAUCAGAUGUAUAAUUUCUAAAUAUUUCUCCCAUCCUUAAGGUUGUCUCUUUGUUCUGUUACUUUCCUUUGCUUAGCUUUUUAGUUUGAUGUAGUCACAUGUCAAUUUGGGGUUUUGCUACUUGUUCAUUUGAAGUCAUAUUGCCAAGAUUAAUACUGUAAAGUGUUUCCCAUAUGUUUUGUUCGAGUUGUUUCAUGGUUUCCAGGGUUCAUAUGAGUUGAUAUUAUAUAACUAGUGAGAAUUAGAAGUCUAGUGUCACCCUUUUACAUGUAUACUUACCAGUUGCCUU